AGGCUUAACACAUGCAAGUCGAGCGGGCGUAGCAAUACGUCAGCGGCAGACGGGUGAGUAACGCGUGGGAACGUACCUUUUGGUUCGGAACAACACAGGGAAACUUGUGCUAAUACCGGAUAAGCCCUUACGGGGAAAGAUUUAUCGCCGAAAGAUCGGCCCGCGUCUGAUUAGCUAGUUGGUGAGGUAAUGGCUCACCAAGGCGACGAUCAGUAGCUGGUCUGAGAGGAUGAUCAGCCACAUUGGGACUGAGACACGGCCCAAACUCCUACGGGAGGCAGCAGUGGGGAAUAUUGGACAAUGGGGGCAACCCUGAUCCAGCCAUGCCGCGUGAGUGAUGAAGGCCCUAGGGUUGUAAAGCUCUUUUGUGCGGGAAGAUAAUGACGGUACCGCAAGAAUAAGCCCCGGCUAACUUCGUGCCAGCAG
rnacentral:rRNA from 1 species